rnacentral:lncRNA from 1 species
AUCACUGAGAAGAAGCUGGGAGAUGGGAGAGGAGGUGGGGACAGGAAUCCGGCUCGUCUCUGCAUCUUUCCCUCGGCAUCCCUGUCUCCAGGGCUGCCCCAUAGACAUUUUUCUCGCCUUGUCUCUGUGGGACUCAGGAAGUCCAAGCCAAGGGCUGGGUCCGGAAGGCAGCCUUUGCUUCUAUUAGAGCAUCUGCCUGAACGAGCUGGUGGGUGUCAGCCAGCCCUGGAUGCGUCUGGAUGACACGCAAGCGGGGGGCCUCAUUCAUCUGACCUCCACACAGGGGUAGUCAAGGGAGGCAGGAGUCCAGGCAAAGGGGUUGUUUUCCAAGCUCUGUGCUUCCUUCAGCACCGGGAGGAGCAGUUGUCGUGGUGAUGGGACGCCGGGUACAGUGGGAUUUCACAAAUCUGCCAUCACAGGGACAGACGAGGACGCCCAGCCUCCAUCAAGCUUUUGUCUGUGGCCCUGAACUGUGGAAUUCUGGAAUCCAUGCAAAUGUAAUUGUGAUGUCACCAUCAAAUUAACUGUGAUGUCUCCAGGCCGAACCCUGGGGAAUGUUGGAAUGCAGAUUUCCUGACCUGUCCCUGGAGGUCGGGACGAGCUGGGCAGAAAGCACGGCCUCGCUCAGGGGAGGCUGUGACAACUCCCUGUACCUGACACAUGGAUGCACCAACCACCCGUCACCCAGCCAUCCGCCACCUGUCCCUGCUGAUGCUUUCAGCAGGUCUCCACAGCCAAGCUGUGGGUGCAGGGCAGCUCCGUCCACCCCAGGACACUCCGCAUCACGGCCCAUGAAUGCUGGAUCUGGGGAAGGUUGGGCUGCACCGGCUUACAGGGUCAAGUCCAAGCCCCCUGGCCUGGCGGUGAGCCCUCUGUGGUGGAUGCCACACCAGCCUCCCCUCCACUCCUGGCGGCCAGCACCCUCCCCUCUGGUCCUUAGGUUCUUAGCGCCAAACCUCUAGACCCCCUGGAAUCAGGGAUGUGACCUUGGCCAAAGUUCUCCAGCACCCAGAAAAGUCAGGGAACUGAGAGGGACUCUUCCCUGCUUCUGCCUCCCUCCUGCCCUCGGCUCCUGGAGGGCACAGCAAGUGUGCUGGGGGUUUCUGUAGAAAAACCAAAGAAAAUCAAA